GAUAGAGAAAGUGGAUGAGUCUCGGCACCGCGCAGCGGUGUCGAGGCUCCAUGCACGGGCCAUCCUGCUCCAGAUCAGGAAAGCUCUUAUUUGAGGUUGAGGCCUUUGGGGUGUAAUGUUUCUAAUUUUCUUAUCCAUGUCCUUUCAGCUCGGGUUCUCUGUGUGGCGUUCCAGCUGGGGUCCAUCUGGAUGAUCGUGGCCCGGACAGACGACCAUCCAUGGGCCAGAAAAUGGCUGACCAGAGGCGUGUGGGUUUCCCUCCGCCUCUGGAUGUUGUAGCGGUGUUGGGUGAACCGCUGUAAGAGCGUGUUUCUGGUCUCGCCCACAUACUGUAGGCCGCACAUAAGACAUGAAAUAAGAUACACGCAAUUUUUGGAGUGUGGAUUGCCACAUGCCAUGGUCUUAUGGACUGUUUUGUUGACAUGGCUGUGGAUCCAGGUGGCAUGUUUGAAAAAUUGGCCAUGGCCUCUGGAUUUUGAGGUCGAUAGGGGCUUAACUUUGGCUGUCACCAGAUGGUCCUGGAGGUUUUUGUUUUUCCUAUAGGCUGCUAUGAACCUGUGGUUAUUAAGGAGUCCCGGAUCAAUGAUUUUUUGUUGGAAAUUUUCUUUGAUUUUUCUGCACAGAGCGAUUGCUGGCUUGGAAUAGGUGGUGACGAAGGGGAGUACAUCCGACGUGUCUACUGGUUUUGUUUCCAGAAAGGUGCUGAGGGCCUUCCGCCGGAAGGAGCGUACAUAGCCCCUGGUGGCGAGAGCUCUGAAAAGCGUUUUUGUGGCCGCCAUGAAGUCACUUUUGUGUGUGCAGAUACGGUGGAAACGGAGUAAUUGUGAUUUCAAAAGGCCCCUAUAUGUGUGUUUGGGGUGGUGGCUGGUCUUAUAAAGCAGGGCAUGGGUGUCUGUUUCUUUGAAGAAAACUUUAAUGUCUAAUUUGUUUGUAUGCUGGAAAUUGAUCCCCUUGUAGGUGGUGGUAUCCAGGAAGUCGACCGACGUGGUGCUAGUGGUGGACUUCAGUGUGAUGGACGGGUUGUGAUUAUUCAAGGCUGCCAGGGCGGAGGUCUCCCAUUCGGCCAUGAAGAUGUUGGCAUAUGCCGGUGCAAAUUUUUUGCCCAUGGCAGUGCCUUUAAUUUGUAAAUAAAAUUUGCUGUCAAAUUCAAAAUCAUUUCUCCUCAGGUUGAUUGCAAGGAGUUGUAAUAGUUCCUUAUCAGGUCUCUUUUUGUCUGGAAAUUUUGUAAAUAUGUUUUUUAUGGCCUGUAUGCCUUCAUCAAUAUCAAUAUUGGUGUAUAGACUGUCAACAUCCAUAGUGAACAGGAUGGAGUCGGGGGGGAUAUGUAGUUGUUUGACCGUAUUAAUAAAGUGGUAAGUGUCCUUGAGAUAGCCGAAGUGUCUGUUAGAAAGUGGGUUGAUAUAAUAAUCAAUAAAUUGGGCCGUGUAGUAGGUCUCACUAUCACAAUCAGAGACAAUCGGCCUUCCAGGUGGGAUUUCAAAGGGGACACUCCACUUUGAGGGCUCUUUAUGUAUCUUGGGCAGCAGGUAAAACAGUCUGGGCCGGGGGAUCGGAUUACCCAGCAGGUAAGUGUAUUGUUUUUUGUUUAUGAAUUUUUUAUCUAAUAAUGAUUUAAUAAUUGGUUGCACCAUUUUUUUAGUUUCAGGGUAGAUAGGAUCCUUUAAGACAGAAUAAUAUUUUUUGUCUGUUAGCUGUCUGUUGCCCUCAAAUAAAUAUUGUUCCCUGUCCAUCACCACUACUGCGCUGCCUUUAUCUGCUGGUUUUAUAAUGAUGUUUUUGUUUUCUUUCAGUUCCUUGAGGGCUUCAAUUUCCUCCUGGCUCAAAUUAUUCCUGAUUGGGAUUGGCUGGAAAUUGUUUUCAAAAUAAUGAAUAUCCGCUUGGAUGAGGUCAGUGAUUUCCGGUGGCAAAUUAGACAAGGGGGGGCUCCAAUCAGAUUUUUGGGUAAAGGGGGUGAAAAUCACAUCUUUUUUAUUUUGAAAAUAAACAUGGAGUUUGAUUCUCCUGUGAUAUUGCUGCAGGUCCCAUCUGCUUUGCUCAAUGAUGUUGCUCUGGCUCCCCCUAGUGGGGAUGAAAGAGAGGCCCCUGUCCAGGAGUGUGAACUGGGCCUGGGUUAAUUUGAAUGUCUGUGAUAACAACAGUACAUUUUUUGACCCCUCCUGAGAGUGCAGGCUUAUGGGGAUGAGCAUUUUAAAUACCCCGUCCAGUGGUCAAACAUGUGUUUGGCGGUGGCUUUUGUCCAGUGUAUGUUAUCUGCUCCAGUUUCAAAAGAUUUGGAGGGCAGUCUGGGGAUGAAGAGGCAGUUUUUUUGGAUAUGUGCGUUCAGGUGGACCAGGCAGGCCUGCUCUUUGAGAGGUAAGUGACGGGAAUAAUUGAUUAAAGGCACCCAAACGGCCGCUUGAGGGAAUUUAGCCUCAGCUGCCUCCACUGUGGCUAAUAGCUGCUGUGCCAGGAUUGUUUUGGAUGCAGCGUUUCUGUUGUUUAUACCAAAAGAGAGGACCAAUUUCUCUAAUUUGGUGGAGGUGGUGGCCUUAUCAAUUAGCGUUUUAGCAUGUGCUAAUGUCGCCCCUGGGUAGCUGUCAAUUUGUAGGUUGGUGCUUUCAAAUGGAGGCAUUUUGGCCAAGUUAGAGUCGCCAAUAAAGGCCCACUCUUUGCCAAUGCUGAGGCCCCAAUCCUGUAUUUUAUUCUGUGUGUUUAUGUGUUUUGUAGGUCUCCUGGUGUUGGGCAUAGGCACUGGGGUCGGCGCUGUCGGUCUAGGCCGCAGCGUGAGUCUGCUCUGGGUUGCUCUUCUAAGGCUCCUGAAUUUAACCGGAGUGGACUGAGCGGUGGAGGCCUCAAAAGGGCCUUUAUGGGGCUCUACCAGAUCCCCGUCACCUGAGAGGCAGGUGAUGGAGUCUGGGCUGUGGACCACACACGGGUUUAAAGGAGCCACUGUCGGAGCCAGAGCGGCUGGUAGCGCCGGAGAGGCUGCUGGCACCGGAGCGGCCAACUGCCCUGGAGCAGCCGCUGGCGCUGGAGCGGCAAGCUGUACCGGAGCGGCCUCCGGCAUCGGAGCGGCCUCCGACACCGGAGCAGCCUCCGGCACCGAAGCGUCAGGCUGCGAGGGAGGAGUUGCCGGAGCGGCCAGCCGUACAGGAGCAGCAACCACCGCGGGGGCAGCCGUCGUCGUCGGAGGAGGAUUUUCAGGUAAGUUAACAUUUUUUUCUUCCUCUCCCUUUGCAGGUAAGUGUACCGCAGGCGCUAACCUCCGGACUCUCUGGGGCCUCGGCUGCUGCUUAAAGAAGCCGAGGAGGUCCAGGGAGGCCGCUGGAGGAGGAGGAGGAGGAGGAGGAGGAGGAGGGGGGGCUGGUGUUACUGGUGAGUGGGCCCGUGUUUCCAGUACCUCCAAUUCCCUGUUGUCAUUGUUGACGUGGAUUUGUGCCUGAACACUGUGUUGUGUUUGUGUUUUUUGUUUAUCGAACACAGGUGGCGGAGCUGUGGCAGGGGGUGGUGGCGGGCAGUCAGGCUUUCCCUCAUCCGUGUCUGGGUCGAGCUGCACGACCAUGAGGGCCUCCACCUGCUCCAGGGUCUCAGCCUGGAGUCUCCUACCCAGGUGUCUUUUUGCCCAGGUGGAGGCCACUUGAAAGGGGGCAGGCCAAUCCCGUUUGGGCAAUGCAGAUAAGGUGUUAAACUCCUUAUCAAUGGAGUCAAUGUAGUGAUCCCUGAGAAUAAGGAUUGUUGUAUAUUCCCAGUUUUUGGCAUUGCUCUCAAUGAGGAGACGGGCCCCCUCACUGGGGCUAGCCGGUUUAAUUGUGGUGGCCAAAUUAGUUGUUAAUUUAUGGAUUGCUGGGGGGGGCUUAUCGGUCGAAACAUUUUUCAGGUGGUGGGCCAAUGUAAUGAUUUUUUUCAUUAUCCUGGCCUUAAUUCCAAAAUCAGGGUCAUCAGACUGUUGUCUGUUCCCAUUCCUGUUUCUCUCCCUCUUUUCCCCAUGUGUGUUGCUUGUAUUCCUCCCUGUGUUGCCUGUGUUUCUCCCUGUUCCCCCUGUAUUUCUCCCUGUGUUAUCUGUGUUUCUCCCUGUGUUCCAUGUGUUUCUCCCUGUGUAUCCUGUAUUUCUCCCUGUGUUCCAUGUAUUUCUCCCUGUGUUUCCUGUAUUUCUCCCUGUGUUCCAUGUGUUUCUCCCUGUGUUUCCUGUAUUUCUCCCUGUGUUUCUCCCUGAAUUCCAUGUGUUUCUCCCUGUGUUCCAUGUGUUUCUCCCUGUGUUCCAUGUUGUGUUGUGUCUUGCAGGUUGGUUGUACGGGGCCCUGCGGCUUCCCGGAUUUUCAAAAAAUUGUGGCCUAUGGCCAUGCUCCGUGGAACGGUAGCGUUGUGGGUAGUCGUCCCUCCGUCCAUGUCCUCUAACAACAGAGGCAUAGCUGGGACGCUGCCCUGUGGCCUGGUAGCGUUGGCGGGAGCGGUACUGGGCUGAGCGGGGUCUGGGCCUUCCCCCCGGGGGCUGCCUGUAGCGGUCACGCCGUGUGCUCGAGCUGUGAGAAGCAAGUGGGACUGAGGAGUGGGCAGGCUGGGUAUUUAUAGACAAGAGGGGGGGUGAGUGGGGGGCCAGGGGUUGCCAGCUGCAAGUCGUCACGUGUUUAUUCCAACUGUCAAAUCCCCUGUUGUCCCCCUCCCCGUGAAAAGUCCCUUUAGAAAAUUAAUAUUACCAAUAUUCCACUAAUUAUGCCCCUAUAAAUGGGUUAUUACCAUGUAAUACAUAAAUAAAUAAAUAAAUAAAGACCCUUGAAAUUUGUUUGUCCUUUUUUCCUUUUCCAGAUGAGU